AGCGGUGCCCGUGCAGAUCAGCAGAGAUGGCAGAAGCUUCUGUGGCUGUUGAGUUACAGGUGUGUCUGCAGGGAGGACUUUCCCAGGUCCUUUGGUGGAUGUUGCAUGCAAGCCCAGCUCCCAUGGCAGGGGUCCUCCAAGACGGAAGAAGAAACCUACAGGAGCUUGUACAUCCCUGGAGGAAUCCAAAUAUCUGAAAAAACUCCUGAGUGAUGUGGACAGCCAGCGUGAUGCAGCCAGCACCUCAACACAUUCUGACAUCAUCUGGAAAAGCAUGAGAAGAGUUUUCUGCUGGGGAACACCUUGUUUGAUUAAGUUGAUGGCCAUUGUGGCUGGUGCGGCACUGUGCCUGAUGAUGUGCUGUGCAGGAAUCUGGUAUUGCUGGACGAGAAAAUGGCACCACCUUGAAGAAAAGCUGAAAGCUGGUGGCUGGUCACGAGACCUCUACAGCCAAAAGAGCAAUAGCAGCAGUUCUGAGUCCGAUUAUGAGUCUGAUGAGUGUAUAUUUGCCCCUCCAAC